rnacentral:rRNA from 1 species
UACGUAGGGGGCAAGCGUUGUCCGGAAUCAUUGGGCGUAAAGCGCGUGUAGGCGGCCCGGUAAGUCCGCUGUGAAAGUCCAGGGUUCAACCCUGGGAUGCCGGUGGAUACUGUCGGGCUCGAGUCCGGAAGAGGCGAGUGGAAUUCCUGGUGUAGCGGUGAAACGCGCAGAUAUCAGGAGGAACACCGAUGGCGAAGGCAGCUCGCUGGGACGUGACUGACGCUGAGACGCGAAAGCGUGGGGAGCAAACAGG